CCUACGGGCGGCAGCAGUGAGGAAUAUUGGUCAAUGGGCGCGAGCCUGAACCAGCCAAGUCGCGUGAGGGAAGACGGUCCUAUGGAUUGUAAACCUCUUUUGUCGGGGAGCAAAAGACGCCACGCGUGGCGUUCCGAGAGUACCCGAAGAAAAAGCAUCGGCUAACUCCGUGCCAGCAGCCGCGGUAAUACGGAGGAUGCGAGCGUUAUCCGGAUUUAGUGGGUUUAAAGGGUGCGCAGGCGGAAGAUCAAGUCAGCGGUAAAAUUGAGAGGGGAAACCUCUUCGAGCCGUUGAAACUGGUUUUCUUGAGGGAGCGAGAAGUAGGCGGAAUGCGUGGUGUAGCGGUGAAAUGCAUAGAGAUCACGUAGAACUCCGAUUGCGAAGGCAGCAUACCGGCGCUCAACUGACGCUCAUGCACGAAAGUGUGGGUAUCGAACAGGAUUAGAUACCCCAGUAGUC
rnacentral:rRNA from 1 species